rnacentral:rRNA from 1 species
AUUGAACGCUGGCGGCAUGCCUUACACAUGCAAGUCGAACGGCAGCACGGGAGCAAUCCUGGUGGCGAGUGGCGAACGGGUGAGUAAUAUAUCGGAACGUGCCCAGUCGUGGGGGAUAACGUAGCGAAAGCUACGCUAAUACCGCAUACGAUCUAUGGAUGAAAGCGGGGGAUCGCAAGACCUCGCGCGAUUGGAGCGGCCGAUAUCAGAUUAGGUAGUUGGUGAGGUAAAGGCUCACCAAGCCAACGAUCUGUAGCUGGUCUGAGAGGACGACCAGCCACACUGGGACUGAGACACGGCCCAGACUCCUACGGGAGGCAGCAGUGGGGGAAUUUUUGGACAAUGGGCGCAAGCCUGAUCCAGCAAUGCCGCGUGCAGGAUGAAGGCCUCGG